rnacentral:rRNA from 1 species
GAAUCUUGCGCAAUGGGCGAAAGCCUGACGCAGCGACGCCGCGUGGGGGACGAAGGCCUUCGGGUUGUAAACCCCUGUCAGGCGGAACGAAUCCCCCGAGGACGAACACUCCUCGGGGUUGACGGUACCGCCGGAGGAAGCCCCGGCUAACUACGUGCCAGCAGCCGCGGUAAUACGUAGGGGGCGAGCGUUGCUCGGAUUUACUGGGCGUAAAGAGCGCGUAGGCGGCCAGGGAAGUCCGGUGUGAAAUUCCUCGGCUCAACCGAGGACCCGCAUUGGAAACUCCCUGGCUUGAGUCCAGGAGGGGAGGGUGGAAUUCCCGGUGUAGCGGUGAAAUGCGUAGAGAUCGGGAGGAACACCGGUGGCGAAGGCGGCCCUCUGGAAUGGUACUGACGCUGAGGCGCGAAAGCUGGGGGAGCGAACGGG